GCCUGGGUAGCUCAGUCAGUUAAGUGUCUGACUUCAGCUCAGGUCAUGAUCUCAUGGUCCAGUCCAUGGGUUCGAGCCCCAUGUUGGGCU
rnacentral:tRNA from 1 species